CAUGCAGUCGAGCGGUAACACUUCGGGUGACGAGCGGCGGACGGGUGCGUAAUGUAUAGGAAUCUACCCCAAACUGAGGGAUAACUCAUCGAAAGAUGUGCUAAUACCGCAUAUGGCCUUCGGGUUAAAGCUUCGGCGGUUUGGGAAGAGCCUAUAUCCGAUUAGCUUGUUGGUGAGGUAAUGGCUCACCAAGGCAACGAUCGGUAGCUGGUCUGAGAGGAUGAUCAGCCACACUGGAACUGAGACACGGUCCAGACUCCUACGGGAGGCAGCAGUAGGGAAUCUUCCACAAUGGGCGAAAGCCUGAUGGAGCGAUGCCGCGUGCAGGAUGAAGGCCUUCGGGUUGUAAACUGCUUUUAUUUGUGAGGAUUAUGACAGUAACAAAUGAAUAAGCCUCGGCUAACUCCGUGCCAGCAGCCGCGGUCAUACGGAGGAGGCAAGCGUUAUCCGGAUUAACUGGGCGUAAAGAGUUGCGUAGGUGGUUUAGCAAGCAAAAUAUGAAAUCGUACGGCUCAACCGUAUAUCCGUGUUUUGAACUGCUAAACUUGAGCACAAUAGAGGUAACUGGAAUUCCUAGUGUAGGAGUGAAAUCCGUAGAUAUUAGGAGGAACACCAAUGGCGUAGGCAGGUUACUGGGUUGUUGCUGACACUGAGGCACGAAAGCGUGGGGAGCGAACGGGAUUAGAUACCCCGGUAGUCCACGCCGUAAACGAUGAAUGCUAGCUGUUUGAGGUAUCGACCCCUUGGGUAGCACAGCUAACGCGUUAAGCAUUCCGCCUGGGGAGUACGAUCGCAAGAUUAAAACUCAAAGGAAUAGACGGGGACCCGCACAAGCGGUGGAGCGUGUUGUUUAAUUGGAUGAUAAGCCAAGAACCUUACCAGGGUUUGACAUCCUUGGAAGCUC
rnacentral:rRNA from 1 species